rnacentral:rRNA from 1 species
GACGAACGCUGGCGGCGUGCUUAACACAUGCAAGUCGAGCGGUAAGGCCCUUUCGGGGGUACACGAGCGGCGAACGGGUGAGUAACACGUGGGUGACCUGCCCUCAGCUCUGGGAUAAGCCUGGGAAACUGGGUCUAAUACUGGAUAUGACUCCACGGUGCAUGUCGUGGGGUGGAAAGCCUUGUGCGGCUGAGGAUGGGCCCGCGGCCUAUCAGCUUGUUGGUGGGGUGANGGCCUACCAAGGCGACGACGGGUAGCCGGCCUGAGAGGGCGACCGGCCACACUGGGACUGAGACACGGCCCAGACUCCUACGGGGAGGCAGCAGUGGGGAAUCUUGCGCAAUGGGCGAAAGCCUGACGCAGCGACGCCGCGUGAGGGAUGACGGCC